UGCAGGUUUUCCUAGCAGAUUGAAUGUAACCUGUAUUGGGUGAAAAGAACAGGGUGAGGUGAGAGAGACAUGAUCAACCUUAAGCACAAGCAACAGCUUAAGCCCUGUGCUUUGGGAUGCCACUAACCGUCCCUGGGCCAGUGAAACUGGAAGAGAAGGCAUCUCUGCUGACCAAUCCUUUGGCCAUCUUGCGACCUGUCUCUUACUUGGAGCCUGCAAACUAUAAGGUCACCCCUGGUGGGAGGACUCGUAUGCAUGUGGACAAGUCUUAGUAGAAUGGUGAGUGAAAAUCUGCAGACAAAUUGUUCCUAUUUACUUGUUUCUCAUGGCCUUCCUACUCCAUGUUUCCAUGUAGUCAAAAGGAAUGUCCCCCUAAUUUUUCCCCCUGGUUGUCCGUUUUUGUUGCUUUCGAAUGGUAGCAAGUUUAUGAAAACUGUAGUGUUGAGGUUUUAAGCUAAGGUAGGAAUGGAAACCUGAGUUGCAAUGGAAACCAGGAUGCACACCAGCCGUCAUGGAGCUCUGCGUCUACCUCUGAAACAUAUGCAGCCUUGACUACACAUAACCAACAGCACAAAUGAGGCAGAUUUUCAGAUUUAUGCCUCUAUUCAAAGUGUCAUUUCCUUGUAGGCUACAGAACUAUUGGCAGGAGGGCAAAAGGACAAACAUAUUUAAAAACUAAGUGCACAUUAUUUGUGUUUAAGAUAGUCCUCCCGACCCUAAACUGAUGUGUAAUUCUGUUGUGUACUCUUAAUCAGUAGCUGCUUUUCAUGAUAGAGGUGGCUGCACUUCCGUAGUGGGUGACAUCAUUUCUGUACGUAUGGUUAGAAAAUUUUGUAAAGCACUUGGGGAUAAUUUUGGAUAGAAAAUAUUGUCAAAAUGCAUAAUAUUAUUGUUAUUAUUUUGUUGUAAUCCAGCAUACUCUAUAAUAUGGCACCAGAAUGACUGGAAAAAAUGCGUGAAGCAACCUGUCAUGUUAGCAUCUGAAAGCUUGGCACUUGCUCCAGUCUUUGCUACCCAUUCAGAAAUUAAUGCUAAUCCCUGUUGGGUUCAGUCCAAGAAAUAUUUUCAAUGAACUGAACAAUCUUUUUUAUGUGGCUUAGUGCUUGUCUCUUUCAGGAAGUGUAACGUAUCAAUAGAUGAGUGGCCAUCUUGAAUACAGCUCAAUGCACACUGUAACUUUGUUAAAAUAAAGGACAGUGGUGCUAAAGGAAAGAAAUACCAUCUGAACAUCAAUGUUCCUAUUGCCUACAUAUUUCGUAGGACAGGGUACACGAGCAACAAUUAAUAAAACUAUAAAAAUAUCCUCAAAUUAACUAAUUAAUCCUUACAAAACUCUUGUGAGAUAGAUAACUAAUUGUUAUUCCCAUUUUCACAUGAAUAAUUGAAUCUUCAAGAGGAUAUGCAAAAACUACAAGAAGCUGAGAACAUCCUUUCAUGUAUUUUAACCAGUGUGAAUGUAUUUCUCAAUCUCUUGUGAAAUCAUUGUAAUUUUUGGGUCUAUUCUGAGCUUGGGUUACAUUUCCUUUGUGUGUGUGUCUCUCCUAUGAACAUUUUCCUAAUAUCAUAAAGCAAAAACCAACAACUGUUGCUUUAUUCUACUAAUAGCAUACUGGGUAGCAAAGGAGCUGUGUAGUUUGGACUCCCAGGUUUUAUUUGUGACUCUUCCAUUGAUUUGCUGCAUGACCUUGCGCAAAUCAUUUGACUCCUCUGUGUUUUACUCUGUUCAUCUUCAUAACAGAUAUAAAAUUACCUCCCUAUUUCACAGGGAUUUUGUGAGGUUUACUAGUUACUGUGUGUAAAGCACCUUGAACUUCUUAGGUGAAAGGUGUUAUAGAAGUUCACAGUAUUAUUCUGAUUGUUUUUGCUGGUUUCUCUAUGCAAAUGUAAUUAAAUAAGGAAAACAACCACUGACUGAGAUUUGACUGCAUCUAUUUGAAGGACCUAUUUACCAAUGCGGGAGCGGGAAGAGUAUUGCUGGUGGCUAGAACAGGGAGCUACGAGUCAGGAAUCCUGGGUCCAACGCCCCGAUCUGUCACUGGUUUUCUUUGUGUCUUUGUGUCACUUAAUUUCUCUGUGCUCUCUACAGAAUGGGAUUAAUUAAUGCUUCUUUGUUUCACAGGGAUGUUGUGAGGAUUACAUCAUGUUUAAAAGCACUUUGAGAUCCUUGAAUGUGUCUAGCUAUAAUGUAUAUUAUAAUUACAGAGGCCUAUGUUAACUGUGGUGUAGAGCAGAAAAAUAUAAUCAUCUUUUUCUGAACUAAGGUAUAAAUAAAAUAAUUGCUGUUACAUUUUCAGAGAGAUCAAAGCACAAAGCAUCUCAGCAAGAACUCAGGGAACUGAACUCCUUGCAGAAUUAAAAUUAAAUAUUGUUGGUUGGUUGUAUCAUUAGCAAUGUGACAGUCAGCAGAGCUCAGCAGAAAGGAUUUAGUUGUUUGGCUUAUUUGAAAGCCUUUUGUUCCAAGGGGUCAUUAAAUAUUGCUCUUGGGGGUUGGUAUAAAACAGACAUUGUGGUUCUCUUCUGUCUUGGAAGCCUGCAGCAUCUAUUUCCUGAAGAACUAAGGGAUAUGGUUGAUCAAGCAGUUUAUUUGGCAGUGCAAUUGUUUUAAAUUCUAUUUAUAUUUAAAUCCAAUGUAGAAUGCUGGCCACCUCUCACAAUUUGCAUUUGCAUGCUCCCUUAUUCUUUAGCAGAAAGAACGCUCUGAGCUAGCCUUCAAAAAUAGCACUGAAAAAAGGCAUGGCCCUUCUCACAUCUCAUCAGGAGUAAGUGUGUGAAAUAUGCACUGCAUUGCAUCUCCUCUAGCUACAGAAGGUGGACUUCUGCACCUGCUAGGGUCAACUGCAUGGAAUCAAAGGACUGAACGUUGCUCUCAGUAGCAUCCAGGCAAUCCUUUUGCCUUUCACUGGGUUGUAUUGGUAUCACUGACAGCAGAAUAUGGCAAGGAUUGAAUAAACUACAGAAAGUAAACUACUCUCUCUUCACUGGGGUAGUCCUUCUGUUUGGGGUUCAGGCACAGUAACAUGGCAGUGUGAGGAAGGUUCCCGUGCCUCUUCCUUGUUGUAAUGUUCUUUGGAUAAGUAGAGAUCUUCAGUCUCCACAAGUUUCAAUGCCACAUCUUUCACAAUACUGGCACAUACAGUACUUUAAAUAGUCAUUCAUUAAAAAAAUAUACAGUCAACAUGAAUUUUACAACAGGGAAACAAAUAAUAUACAUAUAUUUGAAAUAAAGCCCUCUACCAACUGUACAAAUAUAAGGCUGCAUUUUUCCUGAGGUUAGUGGUGAGAAAAUAAAGAGAGCAAUGUGUAUGUAACUGGAGCCCUGAGUUUAAAAUAGAGCUUUGGUAUAUGUACAGUUUAGGUGUGGUUCUCUCUUUAUAGCAACGUCAGAAACAUAGACACACAGGACAAGAUUUUCAAAAGCACUCAGUGUUGACCUAACUGAAAAUCCCACCCAUAUAGGAGAAUUCCCUGUGAGUCAGGUGCCCCCAUCUCCCCUUCUCCCCCACCCAAGAAUGGUUCUGGCAAAGGAAGCCCUUUGCUGGGGCCACAGAUUUGACUCUAUUGGCUCUAUAGCCCUAAACAGUUAACACUCAGCCAGUUAGCACAUGCCAAAGUAUAACUUGUCUUGUUUACACUGGACAGUUAGAACCUUUAAUUAGAAUGUGGUAGCUAAAAUAUUCUAAAAACAAAAAACAAACAAACAAAGCCCCAUCUUGUAUCCUAGUUUAGACAUAUCCUGGCAUCAUCUUCUGCAACAAUAUAUCAUAAAUAUGGUGCUGACCGUAGUAUUUUUUGACAAUAGGUUAUAAGUUACUAGACAUUUGCAUUUAAAGUAUUUUUCUCAGAAAAGUGUUACUAAUUCCUGAAAAUGUUUUACUUAAUAUAUUACAAGUAAUUAUAUUAAUAACCAUACUUGGAUAGUUGGUUAAAUUGAUUUUAUUGUUAGAGUUAAUUAUGUUUAUUAUAUUAUUAUUGCUGUGGAAAUUAAAAUGUGUAUAAUGCUUAAAAAGAAAAAUGUGAAACAUUAAAUAUGAGUCAUAUAAGAGUAUCUGCAUUUUUGUUGUACUAACAUGCAAAUGCAGUGGUAGAACUACAAAAUGUGUCUCCCUCUCCCUCCACCACAAGAAAAAAAUGUAAACAGUUCUGUAAGUAAAAUUAAACCUAUCAUUUAAAAGUAACUUUUCCAUAAUUAUUAUCAAAGUAUUCUGAAGGUAUGAACUAGAAACUUACAUAAACU